AUACGUAGGAUGCAAGCGUUGUCCGGAAUUACUGGGCGUAAAGGGUCCGUAGGCGGUUUGUUAAGUCUUCUGUGAAAGUUCAGGGCUCAACCCUGAAAUGUCGGGGGAUACUGGCAAACUCGAGACUGUCAGAGGCAAGUGGAAUUCCCGGUGUAGUGGUGAAAUGCGUAGAUAUCGGGAGGAACACCAGUGGCGAAAGCGGCUUGCUGGGACAGUUCUGACGCUGAGGGACGAAAGCGUGGGUAGCAAACCGGAUUAGAAACCCUAGUAGUCC
rnacentral:rRNA from 1 species